UACGUAGGGUGCGAGCGUUGUCCGGAAUUAUUGGGCGUAAAGGGCUCGUAGGCGGUUUGUCGCGUCGGGAGUGAAAGCUCAGGGCUUAACCCUGAGCCUGCUUCCGAUACGGGCAGACUAGAGGUAUGCAGGGGAGAACGGAAUUCCUGGUGUAGCGGUGAAAUGCGCAGAUAUCAGGAGGAACACCGGGGGCGAAGGCGGUUCUCUGGGCAUUACCUGACGCUGAGGAGCGAAAGUGUGGGGAGCGAACAGG
rnacentral:rRNA from 1 species